AUUGAACGCUGGCGGCAGGCCUAACACAUGCAAGUCGAGCGGUAGAGAGAAGCUUGCUUCUCUUGAGAGCGGCGGACGGGUGAGUAAUGCCUAGGAAUCUGCCUGGUAGUGGGGGAUAACGUUCGGAAACGGACGCUAAUACCGCAUACGUCCUACGGGAGAAAGCAGGGGACCUUCGGGCCUUGCGCUAUCAGAUGAGCCUAGGUCGGAUUAGCUAGUUGGUGAGGUAAUGGCUCACCAAGGCGACGAUCCGUAACUGGUCUGAGAGGAUGAUCAGUCACACUGGAACUGAGACACGGUCCAGACUCCUACGGGAGGCAGCAGUGGGGAAUAUUGGACAAUGGGCGAAAGCCUGAUCCAGCCAUGCCGCGUGUGUGAAGAAGGUCUUCGGAUUGUAAAGCACUUUAAGUUGGGAGGAAGGGCAGUUACCUAAUACGUGAUUGUUUUGACGUUACCGACAGAAUAAGCACCGGCUAACUCUGUG
rnacentral:rRNA from 1 species